rnacentral:rRNA from 1 species
AAUCAACGCUGGCGGCGUGCCUAACACAUGCAAGUCGAACGCGAAAGCCCCGCAAGGGGUAAGUAGAGUGGCAAACGGGUUAGUAACACGUGGGUGACCUGCCUUCGAGUGGGGGAUAACGUCCCGAAAGGGACGCUAAUACCGCAUGACAUCCUGCUUUUGAAAAAGCGGAGAUCAAAGCUGGGGAUCGCAAGACCUAGCGCUUGAAGAGGGGCCCGCGCCUGAUUAGCUAGUUGGUGAGGUAACGGCUCACCAAGGCGACGAUCAGUAUCCGGCCUGAGAGGGCGGACGGACACACUGGGACUGAGACACGGCCCAGACUCCUACGGGAGGCAGCAGUGGGGAAUUGUUCGCAAUGGGCGCAAGCCUGACGACGCAACGCCGCGUGGAGGACGAAGAUCUUCGGGUCGUAAACUCCUGUCGAGCGGGACGAACGCUUCGCGGAUGAAUAAUCCGCGGAAUUGACGGUACCGCUAAAGGAAGCCCCGGCUAACUCCGUG